GGGCGCUUAGCUCAGUUGGUAGAGCACCUCGUUUACACCGAGGUUGUCGGGAGUUCGAGCCUCUCAGCGCCCACCA
rnacentral:tRNA from 1 species